GGGCGCAGCCCAGCGCCCGCCGGGGUGCGGAGGUGCGGGCUAUGGGGGUCUCGGAGCGGCGGAACGGCGGCCGUGCCGGGCACGGACAGACCCCGGGCGGCAGCGCGGGAUCCCGAGCCCGCCGCCGGCGCUCGGAGCCGCGGGGCCGAACGGGCGCGCGGAGCGGGGCGGGGUCGGCGCGGCGGCGUGUGGCGCCCUCUUGCGGCGCGGAUCCGCGGCUGCAGCCGCCGCUCCCCCGGCGCUUCGCGGGGCGAAGUGAACGCGUGAGGGAGGAGCGGCUGCGGCACCGUCCUGUCACCGGCACCGCGCCCCGGCUGCUCACCCGCGGGCACCGUCCCGUCGCCGGCAUCGCGCUUCGGCUCCUCAGCAGCCGCGGGGAGCCGCGCGGGUUGGACGGGAGGCUGGCAGGGGCGCGGGGAAGGCGCCGGCCCAGCCGCCCUCAGUUCCCCUCAGGCGGGUCUCGGCGCCGCCCGUUCGCCGUGUGGGGCCGCGGCGCCGCCUUUGGGCCCUGCCGCUGCUGAUGCCGCCCCAGGGCGAGUUGUGCACCUCAGUUCACCUGGGAUUGACGGAGCCUGCGUGUGCUUACAGUGUCUUAGAAAACUAUUUCUGAUUUUAAAACUGUUAAUUAAACUGUUUCAACAGUUAAUCUAGCAGUUCAGGAAGCUCACAGAGGAGGUAAACACAAAUGAGAAAAAAAUCCCAAAGCCCAGAUGUUUUAGAGGUGAUAGGACCGCAGAGAAAGUAGGUAAGAGCAUGCUACUCCAUGUGGUGAGCCUGCAGGUAGCAAUGUCAGCCCUGGAACAAGUUUUAAAUCUCUGGGGUGCUAAUCUCACACUGGUUCUGUAAAGUCAUUCUGAACUCAUAGGAGCUCAAUUAUUCAUGGAAGUACAGCACUUGAUAGCUCAAAAUGGCACAUUCGGUCUAAAAAUGUAUUCCAGAGAGCAGAAAACAAUAUUAGCAAUAGGAGUCACCCUCAAAAACAUGAAAGUACAUCAACACCACAUAAAUAUGAUCAAGGUGAGACAAACGCUGCUUUAAACAGCUUUCAAACAUAUUGUGAAGCUUAGUGCAAGUCAGUUUUACAAAACCACAAAGCUGAAGGAAAAUAUUUAAGUUUGACAAAGGAAAGGUCCAUCAGCAAUUGUUACCACUCUGGUUCUGUUACAGCCUGUGUUUUAGGCUUGCAAGCUCCCUCUUGCUGCAGUUAAGGUAAAUCCACAGAGCUUUGCUAGGAACACUUUUGACUUUAUUUGAAUUGUGGACACUCACCCUCAUCAAAAUGCAUAUAUCAAAUGCAUUUUCAGUUUAUCAAACCACAGUAAACCACAGAGUGCAGUUCAGAGCAUGGAAGCAGCACAAAAGGUUUUAUCACCUUUUCACAAAGUGUGAAGAGGCAAAGGGCAUACAAUAUUAUUAAAUAUAUAUACACAUACCUACAUAUGUAUAUAUGCCUACCUUUAUGUUCAAUUUUUUUGUUUAAUUGUUUUGUACAGACUUGGCUUUUCCCAUCAUACAGAAGAAACAAUGGAAGAAAACAUGUCAGGAAAUUGUGAAUAAACCUGCUGCCAUUCUAUUAGGGGUGCAAAAUCUACUAUUCAAAGCUGAACUUAUGGAGGCUGCUACCCUCUCCAGACCCUGCAAGGCCACACUCCACACUCAAGAGAGGGUCCAGUGAUCUGACUGUUUUGAGGCAGUCUGGGAGGUAUGUUCACUGCUGAGCUGAUGAACCAAACUGUUUGGCCAGCCUUGUCUCACGAACCUGUUUGACAUUUCAAAGGAGUUAUUUGGAGGUCAAUGCAGCACAGAGAUUUAAACAGCCUUCCUGUGAGCUGAGAGGAAACAGAAGAACACAGAAAUGACAAGGGCAACAGAGACUGGAAUCGCGGCCUUGCAUGUUACUAUGUGAAAGAACACACAGGUUAGGAAGAGGUUUAAAAGUGAAGGUUGAAAAAUAUCAUGCAAUCAAGAAUAGCCAUGGUGUAGAAGAAGCUUCUCUUGAUGCAGUAUUGCAGCCAGGAAAUAGGAUAAUACUGCAUGAAGAAAAGAAUGAAAUGUAUCAUCAUUUUUUUUUUUUUAAGAGAGAUUAAGUUGUAUGCCACACAGAGAAAACCACAUUGUUGUAAGCUUAUCAUCAUGGUAGUAAAAGGCCAGGAAAAAACCCAAACCAAACAGAAAAGCCAACAAACCAAAACACCCCAAACUGCUCUUUAUGUAAAUAUUACGGCUGUUCACAGGUAACUUACGUGUGUAAAAGUACCUCUAAACCACAAAAAAUACUUUAGUCAUCACUUCUUUUAAUAACAGGUUGGACAGUAUCUCUUUAGUAAGGGAUGAUAACAAUAACUCAUUUGUAAAACUGGUAAUAUUGUCAAGUAUUGGCAAGUUGUAAGGCGAAUCCUGUGUAGCUUCUAUUUUAGUUAACAGAGCAGACACUUAUUGUUUGUUUGAAAAAGCUGGCACAGCUCAGGGUAACUAUUAGUGAUGUUGAAAUUGUGAUGCUUUUAAUUCUGUAGGGUGGGUGUAUAAAAUAAUAUCGUUGGGUUUUAUAUCUAUGGACUGCCUUGAACAUGCCUACCAAGUGCAUUGA